UAAGUUUCCACAGAACAUGUCGGACGAUAUCUUGGAGAAAAUAUGCUUGAAACCCUCGAAGUUCUUCUGGACAUGAUACUUUCAAAACCAGAACUGUGUUUUAAUGACGUGAAAUCAACCUCUUGUAUAGAGCAGGAAAUUUAGAGCUCACAAUCAGCAAAGUUUUUGGUCAUCAAUGGAAAAAAGAUUCCAAAGAAAAAAGUCCUUUCAUUAUUACAACAUCCUGUAUUUGCUUUUGAAUGGGGGCGGAAGGAAAAGACUCGUAUAUCUGUGACAGAUAUUCGACAGAUACAAAGUUUUACUUUAAAAGGUCUUUAUGGAAUUUCUCUAUCGAAAAAAAAUUUGAAUGUCAAACUAGCUUUGGAAAAUCGAAGAGCCCGAGACGUUUGAAUUGCUGUGAUAAGUUGAAAGAUAUCCAAAUCAAAGUCCAGAGAUUCAGAAAUUACAAAAUUCUGAAACAAACAGUGGCUCAUUAUUUAA